CCAGCAGCUGCGGUAAUUCCAGCUCCAAUAGCGUAUAUUAAAGUUGCUGCAGUUAAAAAGCUCGUAGUUGGAUUUCUGGCUUGUAACAUUUGGCCGGCCACGGUUUCGUGUGUUAGUGCUUGAUGUUCUGGCCAUCCUUCCAAUCGCUGCUUACUCUUCUUCAUUGAUGUGGUAAGUGGUAUUGGAUCUUUUACUUUGAACAAAUUAGAGUGUUUCAAGCAGGCUUUAUGCUAUGAAUACAUUAGCAUGGAAUAAUAAUUUAGGACUUCGGUUCUAUUUUGUUGGUUUCUAGGACUGAAGUAAUGAUUGAUAGGGACAGUUGGGGGUGCUAGUAUUCAGCGGCCAGAGGU
rnacentral:rRNA from 1 species